rnacentral:misc_RNA from 1 species
GAUGAAGAACGUAGCGAAAUGCGAUAAGUAAUGUGAAUUGCAGAAUUCAGUGAAUCAUCGAAUCUUUGAACGCACAUUGCGCCCGCCAGUAUUCUGGCGGGCAUGCCUGUUCGAGCGUCAUUUCAACCCUCAGGGCCCUUUUGGACCUGGCGUUGGGGCUCGGCCGCUACCCUGCGGCCGUCCCCGAAAGAUAGUGGCGGUCUCGCUGUAGCCUCCUCUGCGUAGUAGUUACAUCUCGCACUGGAACGCGGCGCGGCCAUGCCGUUAAACACCCCACUUCUCAAGGUUGACCUCGGAUCAGGUAGGAAUACCCGCUGCACUUAAGCAUAUCAAUAAGCGGAGGA